UAGAGAUUAUUAUUAUUAUUUCACAAAGGUGACUUGACAAAUUUUAUGGAAACCCCAUUAUGAUUCCCAGCCAAGGAGCGAUCCUGCAUGAGGCAAACCGUGCGUUCUGAUUGGUCGAAUAAGCUCGCCCACGGAUCGUACCCCCAACCGUUUGAUUUUCCAAGAUCCAACGGAUGGCACACAAUCCCUAAUUCUCUAUCCCUCUCUUCUUUCUUUCCUGGCACCCACAGCCGCCGGCUUCUCUUCGACCCAGCUCCUCCUCCCCGUGCCUUCCUUCCUCCCGUUGUGUUCUCCAAUCAUCGACUUCCCUAUCCAGCCGAGGCGCUCGGAGGUAGUACCGGGGCAAGCACCACCGGUGCGAUGUCCAGGCCGACCCACACCGUUCGGCUGUUCCGUGCAUGACUAGAUCUGACGAUCUAGCUGCCGGAUCCACCGCGGCAGCAACGCCGGCUUCUACCUCCUCUCUGACCCCGACCACCACACCACCUCAACUCCAGCGCGCGACCCUCUACUUUAUCCAUCCUUUCCGUCCAUGGCCAGAACCAGCAAUCUUGCUGCUGGAUCGGUGGUGGCGGUUCCUCAUGGUGGCGUCGGCGGCCGUCCGCAAUGUCCCCUGCCGUCUCGCUUCAGCCUCCUCCUGACAACGCGCCCGGGGCUGGGUCCAGGGCCGGCCCUUGGCCAUGGCGUGCAGCCGCCUAGGGCCCAGGCAAAACAGGGGCCCAUACUGUAUGUAUAUACGUAUGAGUAGAAGAAAAAGUAAACUGAUGAAAUAGUAGCGGUAGGCUCAACCUAUUAUGGUGUGAGGAACCAGUCACGUACGAAAGUGAGAACAGCUCAACAACCAGCCUAAUUGUUAGGUCUCUAUUUAAAAAAGGACCUUUUGUUCUUCCAUCUUAAAAGUAUCCUAAGGAGACUGAUGAAGUGGCACAUUCAGCGAUUGGGCGGUGAGGCGUUGACAGCAGCCCACGUCCACAGGUUAGUUGUUUCUCGUCUGGAUUGCCCAUCUUUCCUUGUUGAUUGCGAAUUUUGUGAAAGAUUACUUUGCAUGAAAUUGUUGCACAAGUGGGUGCCUCAUAUUAGUGGUGAUUAAGUAUCAUCAAAUAAGCACAUGAUGAUUAGAUACUGCUUUGUUAUUAUGUUGUUGGAUUUCUCUGUAGCUACUUGCAUAGAAGGCGUCUGUGCUUUUGUCCAAAACUGCUAUCUGUAGGUACAUCGUAAAAUAUGGUGAGGAUUGUUAUUUUUGACAUUAUCAUAUUAUCAUGAAAAACAAGUCAUAUCUACACUUUGUUGAACUUGUGCUGGCAGCGUGCAGCGGUGCUUGUGAAGACCCGCGUGUCCGUCAGGCCCACUAAACCUAACUUGCACUAGGGCCUUCGAAAUGUUAGGGCCGGCCCUGGCUGGGUCUAGGCGGCCGUCGGCCGCCCCACGGUCAGCGCACUCAUCGUCGGCAUCGACCUCACACUUGUCUUCCCCAUCCAUGGCGCACAUCUCCUCAAGGAGGACAACACCGACACUGCAUGUGGUGACCGCAGGCACGACGACAGAUGUCCACUUCUACUUCGUCUCUGGCUCCGGAUUAUUUCCUGCCUUUUACCAGAGCGAGAAUGGCAUCAUCCACUUCUACCUCCUCCAUCUCAAGGACAAAUCUCAUGCAACCCAUGGUGCUGCAUUUGAAGCGAUCAUUUGUAAUUUGGCAGUGACUAUUAUGUGUAUAAUGUAUGAGUUGGACUAUUUUUCGUUGUAAUGAUGGCAAUGUGGCUUUAGUGAUGUACCUCUAAUGAUUGUUGUAAUUGAAUGAAACAAUUUAAUCAAAAUUCAUGGGCU